rnacentral:rRNA from 1 species
UACAGAGGUCCCGAGCGUUGUUCGGAUUCACUGGGCGUAAAGGGUGCGUAGGCGGUCGGGUAAGUCUGAUGUGAAAUCUCACAGCUUAACUGUGAAACUGCAUUGGAUACUAUUCGGCUUGAGAGUUGGAGGGGGGACUGGAAUUCUUGGUGUAGCAGUGAAAUGCGUAGAUAUCAAGAGGAACACCAGUGGCGAAGGCGAGUCCCUGGACAACUUCUGACGCUGAGGCACGAAAGCGUGGGUAGCAAACAGG